rnacentral:rRNA from 1 species
UGCAGUCGAGCGGGGACAUCCAAGUAGCAAUAUGAGGGUGUUCCAGCGGCGGACGGGUGAGUAACGCGUGAGCAACCUGUCCCGAACAGGGGGAUAACGAGCCGAAAGGCUCACUAAUACCGCAUAAGACCACGGUGCCGCAUGGCACAGGGGUCAAAGGAGAAAUCCGGUUCGGGGUGGGCUCGCGUCUGAUUAGCCAGUUGGCGGGGUAACGGCCCACCAAAGCGACGAUCAGUAGCCGACCUGAGAGGGUGAUCGGCCACAUUGGAACUGAGAGACGGUCCAAACUCCUACGGGAGGCAGCAGUGGGGAAUAUUGGGCAAUGGGCGAAAGCCUGACCCAGCAACGCCGCGUGAAGGAAGAAGGUUUUCGGAUCGUAAACUUCUAUCCUUGGUGAAGAUAAUGACGGUAGCCAAGAAGGAAGCCCCGGCUAACUACGUGCCAGCAGCCGCGGUAAUACGUAGGGGGCAAGCGUUGUCCGGAAUGAUUGGGCGUAAAGGGCGCGUAGGCGGCCUGGUAAGUCUGGAGUGAAAGUCCUGCUUUUAAGGUAGGAAUUGCUUUGGAUACUGCCGGGCUUGAGUGCAGGAGAGGUAAGUGGAAUUCCCGGUGUAGCGGUGAAAUGCGUAGAGAUCGGGAGGAACACCAGUG